CCUACACAACUACUCUAAGAAGACUCUUCAGGUAAGUUUAAGCUCCAAGUUUAAGUCUUAACCUCCUAAACUUAAAGUAGGUUCUCUGUCCUAAGUGCUCUAGAGUUUCCAUCUCUCUGCCAUUCACACAAUAUCUUUGCUAUUUUCCUUAGAGUUAUCUUAAGCAUUAGAGAGCCAUCCACCAAACACUCUCCAUCAAGAGAGCUUCCUUGUUUAUGAUGUUUCAAGACUAGGCCUGACAUUGGAACAAAGGUUUG
rnacentral:lncRNA from 1 species